AUGAUUAAAAUUUUAAUUGAUUUUACAGUUACAAAGCUCUGCUGUGUACAAACAUACGAAUUUAGAAUUUUGUGGCCUCAACGAACACAAAGGAGUCUUCCAAAGUAGGAGUCGCUCCAGACACAAUUUUAGAUUCACACUAUAUUUUUCUGUGUCAGCAAGGAAUAUAAAAAAUAAGGGGAUGUCAUAUUAGUAAAUCAUGUGUAAAGAAGGUAAAUUCACUUUACACAUUAUGGUCGAGCACUUCCACUUUCCAAAUUCCACCAAGCUUCGCAGUAUUCAGGC